GCCGGAGGAUAGGAGCCGAGAGGGGACACAAAAAAGACGCCGGGCGGCGCCAAGAAUAGAAGCGCAUCACGUGGUGUCAGCAUGGCUGGGGAUGAGGAGGAGGCUGCGGCAGGAGCGGCGGCCGAGUGUGUACAGAGCCGGCGGUUGCCUGUGCGGGGCCUCAUGGGGGAGUCGAGACCCCCCGCGGACUGCGCCAAGCGCUUCAUCUGCUCCUUCCCCGACUGCGAGGCCACGUUCAGCAAGGCCUGGAGGCUGAACGCGCAUCUCUGCCGGCACACGGGGGAGAGACCAUUUGUUUGCAAUUAUAAUGGUUGUGGUAAAGGUUUCACCAGAGACUUCCAUCUUACCCGUCACUUUCUUACGCACAGUGGAGAAAAACCAUUUGAGUGCACAGCUGAUGGCUGUAAUCAAAAAUUUACAACAAAAUCAAAUUUGAAGAAGCAUGUUGAACGCAAGCAUGAAAAUCAGCAAAAGCAGUAUGUAUGUGACUUUGAAGGUUGUAGCAAGUCUUUUAGAAAACAUCAGCAGCUAAAAGUUCAUCAUUGUCAACACACCAGUGAACCUUUUUUCAAAUGUAGUCAUGAAGCAUGUGGAAAACAUUUUCCUACUCCGAGUAGACUAAAACGGCAUGAGAAGAUACAUGAAGGAUAUGUGUGCAAAAAAGACAACUGUUCAUUUGUUGGGAAAACAUGGACAGAACAUCUAAAACAUCUGAAGGACAGUCAUGCAGAGCCAGUAAUCUGUGGUGUAUGUUCCAAAACAUUCAAACGCAAAGAUUACCUUCGACAACAUCAGAAAACACAUGCUGAAGAAAGAGAAGUAUGUCGAUGCCCAAGAGAAGGCUGUGGGAGAACUUACACAACUGUGUUCAAUCUUCAGAGCCAUAUUCUUUCAUUUCAUGAGGAGAAAAAACCAUUUUUUUGUGAUUAUGCUGGCUGUGGGAAAGUGUUUGCAAUGAAACAAAGUCUUGCAAGGCAUGCUGUUGUACAUGAUCCUGACAAGGGAAAGCUGAACUUAAAAGCAAAACAAACUCGUCCUAAACGAAGUCUGGCCUCUCGUCUGAGUGGAUAUAUUCCUCUUAAAGCACCGCGACGAAAGGUUGAAGCGGCAACAGAAAAUAAGGCUCUGAAUAAACCUGCAGAAAAUGAGUUACUAACUGUUGAAACACUGACUCUGCACUAGAGACUUCUGGAGACAACUUCAGCCAGAAUUGACAAUUGCUUUAUUAUCACAUGGCAUGCAAAUCCAAAAUAACAUUGACUGUGAUGACAGUACUCCGGAUUUACAUUGAUGUAACAAACAGGAUUUGAUCUACUGCCACUACUUCUAAUACAGCAGUUUUCGAAGUGUUUAAUAUUAUAUUA